ACUUAACAGUUCAAGGGGUAUUUUUUUAGAGUUUGUUGAUUGUAGGGGUAAAUUUGGCUAGAUAGUACAACUGUAGGGGUAAAUUUGGUCCGAUAAUAUAACAGAGGUUAAAUGUAAACAAUAUAUGAAAGUAGAUGGGAUACAUUUAGCCAUUUUCCCUCCAAUUAAAGGGUAUAAUUGAAUAAAAAUAUAACGGUAGGGGCUGACCAAACUAUUCUAACAAUACCUCCCAAUGGCCUAUGAACACCUUCGCUAAUAAUGGAAAAUGGCUGGCGUUGCAGAUUUCCACUCAUCAAUAGCACAAUGUUUGUGUGCCAUAUCGUUCUAGAAUAGUACUAUCACUUUACGUUUAGAUCACACGUGGUGACUUAAAUAUAUUGUAAUUAAUGAACCAAUAUUAUGCCAUAACUCAUACCUCUAUUGUUACUUUUAGUCAACUUAAAGAAGCGAGCAGAAGCAAAAUGUUCUUUAGCCUAUUUCUCCCACGGCUUUGGCCGCCUUAUUCCGUCACCUGAGAGUUGAGAUCUAUGUUAGUACCGGCAAAGCUGGUCUCUUGCUUCCCAACCGACCUUCUCAAAGUUGACAAAACAAAGGCAUGCCUUUUCUACUUGAGGAUGAUACCAACAUCCCCGCCAAGGAUAAAAUACCUAUUGUGCUGUUUCGUUGGCAUUUUUGUGAUCGUGAAUGGCAAUUUUCAUGUAAGCAUAUGAAUACAACCUGAUCCCCAAUUUAUAGUAUCCUCCAGAAUGAUUCCCAUGAAGGUUCAUUAAACAAGUACCACAAUCGCACGCUUUAAGGAAGAAUGCAAGGAAAUACACGAGGUCAUUUUAUCUACAAGGUUAAACCAUUAACUUUUUCUGUGCUAUUUGGACGUUUACAAUACAAUCUAAACAUCGUAUUGUCAUUUUAGCCAUACAGGGGUGAAAUGGUGACUCUGAUAACUGGGUAUUACAAAAGUUCUUUGGUAUACAUGUUUAUUGCGUUCUCAAGCCAGGUGGCUUCUAUUCCAACAAAUACCCUUAACAUAAUUCUAGAAGCAUCCUUGAUAACACGUUAUUGUUAUUUAAUACUUAUAAUUCGAAAAAAAAAACUAUUCGUCAUAUCCAAUACUAUUAGUUAGCAUAAGCAAACUAUAGAUCCACAAAAUUUCACCAUAUAAAGAAACAUUCAGAGCAGCAAAAUCAGCUCGCCGGUAUUAAAAAAGCACAAGUCUCCUAUCGCCAAGGCUGAAAUAAAAUUUGUGGAUUUAAUUACUCUAAAUAAGGUCAGUCAAGCAUAUCAUCAAACAUCUAUGAUGCAUAGUCCACUUAAACAAUUAUUAUUGAUAAUCACAUUAUAAAAAACAAAAUUACCCACAAAAGAAGAAGAAGAGGAAGAGGAACAGAAAGUGAAAGAACUGAAGAAAAAGAAUAUGGGUGCAUCUUCGUCUUCUAACAUUUUUGUCACACAAGCUGGUAAAGUAAUCAUACCCAGUGUAUAUUAGCAUCAGAUCACCCAUCCUCCUCUUUCAUUGCUUAUCUCUUCCUUUCUAGAAUCGAUCUGUAGUAUAGCACAAAUCAAGUUUUCAGUAAAACAAUUUAAUUUUGAAGUGAUAAAUUAGUAGGAAAGAUAUACAUAAUGCAUGUCCGAAACAAGUAUAAUCACUGAUAUGCAUGUAAAAAUUCUAGUAAGAAAUUAUUCAAAACAAUAGAAAAAUUAAACAUAUACUCACCAAACAGUAAUUGCCAACAGAGAAAUUGCAUAAAUAACUCACCAGAAAAAAGAUGGAUAAGCUUUGAAAGAGUGAAGAUCAAAUCACGAACUAAGUUAAAAAAUUCUGAAUAGAAAACCCAGAAACGAGGCUAAGAAAUCGUACCAAAGGAGAAAGAAAAGGUAAGAGGGAGAGAAAGGCUCUGGAAGAUUGGAGAAAAUUCUAGAAAGUACGGAUAUAGAUAUGAAGGAAGAAGAAAUGUAUAAAACAGGUGUCACCAAUAACUACACGUAUUUGAUAGUUAAACGUGGGUUUAUAUUUUUACAAUUACGUAUUUACCCUUGGUCGUCCAAAAACCUUCACUUAUUAAUAUGUUAAAUAAAUAUUUGGAUUGUAUUAACUUGCUUAAAGAGGCACUCAGUGUGGAGAAACAUUUAAGAAUGUAUUUAUUUGUUAAGAAACUCUUCAUGUGAUCCUCUGGAGAAUGUGUUCAUGAAAUAUAGUUUUGGAAGGUGUUUUCUUUUAUUAUGAAGAAUUGUAUGCUAAGAUGAUUAUUCGUGUGGUUAAAAAAGUUUGCGGACGUAGUUGUUCAGCCUCAAAUGUGAGGUGCACAGAAUUCUCUUGCUGCACUUUUGGUAAACUCGAAAGAUAUCUUCUAUUUAGAAAAGCUUAAUUGGUUUAUGUUCUUUUUCUUGUUUAAAUGAUUUGAAGUGAACUGAGAAUCUUGUACCAGAUAGUUGUUAACAUAAAUACUUGGAUGAUUUGCAGACAGUGUCAUAUUCCUACGUAGCUGUAUUUUGUAGAGUGUUAAACGUAUUAAACCGAAAUGAAAGGUGACUGCAUGUGCUUUGUGGUAAUGUUGCUGCAUACGGUGUUUAUGAACUACUAAGUUGUUUUAAUUAAUGUUUGUUGGUUCAGAGAUUAUUACACCUAGUUUUGUAACUUCCUAUACCGACAUGGUACUGCAAUUCUUUUAUCCGUCCGUGAUUACAUGUACAUUAUUGACAAAACAAAGUUAUUUGCUGUCCUUAUUUUCAGAAACUCCAAGCACUGUCAACCUAAAAAGCAUGUCAGACUGUUGUGGCGCUAAACGCGGGUGAGAUUUCUUUGUCGUCGAAUGCAAACCCCUCUGUCUCUCUCUCUCUCUCUCUCUAGGGACUAUCUUCCGAUGAGACGAAGGGUAUAGAAGGGGUGAUGAGCUUCAACAUUCUAUUUCCGUUGCCAUUGUCCAUUUUAGUAGAUGAGUACUCUCGUUAGUGUCCAAAUGCAUACCUUGUACAUGUAAAUAAGUACUUAUAUUUUUUUUUCCACCAUCAGACCGAAACUAGACAUCGACGAUUGAAAGCCAUUAGAAAUCAUCGUGUAAAAAUUUCUUGAAUUUAUCUGGUGCUUCAUAUUUUCUUGCAUCAAAUAAUUCAAAGAAACUUUGGUGAA